rnacentral:lncRNA from 1 species
AUGUGCGGAAACGUGUAUCUAUAUCGUGUUCGGUUCUUCGUUGAGCUUGAUCUUCUUCCGGCAUCCACAAAGGUCCACCGUAAAUUACGGUGGCUACCGUAAUUUACGGUAGCCCCUGAAUGUUUAUUCCUCCACCGUAAAUCAGGAGGUUCAUGGCGUAAAUUUAUAUGGCCUACCGUAAAUUACGGUAGCUACCGUAAUUUACGGUGGCCUCUGCAGAAUUCUCCAAGUUUGCCGUUUUCUAAAACGGCAACGUUCAUAACUUUUAAUCCGUUUGUCCGUUUGACCUACCGUUUCUUCCUACAUGAUUGUAAUUUGAUCCUCCACAUUAUGGAGUCAAAAUUUAACAUCCGGAUUAACAAAAAUUUAGACUUUUAAGUCUUCGGCUUUUUACCCUUUCUACCAAAUUUUGACCCGUUCGCGAAUUUUAUCAAACAAACAUGUUGUUUGAUUCUAACUUCU